rnacentral:rRNA from 1 species
UACGGAGGGGGUUAGCGUUGUUCGGAAUGACUGGGCGUAAAGCGCGCGUAGGCGGAUCAGGAAGUUGGGGGUGAAAUCCCGGGGCUCAACCCCGGAAUGGCCUUCAAAACUCCUGGUCUUGAGUUCGAGAGAGGUGAGUGGAAUUCCGAGUGUAGAGGUGAAAUUCGUAGAUAUUGGGAAGAACACCGGUGGCGAAGGCGGCUAUCUGGCCCGUAAUUGACGCUGAGGCGCGAAAGCGUGGGGAGCAAACAGG